AGCUAUUUUGGCAGAUUAGUGCAAUAAAUUUAGAAUUUAUUUAUGUAAAUUUUAUUACAAAUAGUA
rnacentral:tRNA from 1 species